rnacentral:rRNA from 1 species
GAUGAACGCUGGCGGCGUGCCUAAUACAUGCAAGUCGAGCGAACAGAUAAGGAGCUUGCUCCUUUGACGUUAGCGGCGGACGGGUGAGUAACACGUGGGUAACCUACCUAUAAGACUGGAAUAACUCCGGGAAACCGGGGCUAAUGCCGGAUAACAUUUAGAACCGCAUGGUUCUAAAGUGAAAGAUGGUUUUGCUAUCACUUAUAGAUGGACCCGCGCCGUAUUAGCUAGCUGGUAAGGUAACGGCUUACCAAGGCAACGAUACGUAGCCGACCUGAGAGGGUGAUCGGCCACACUGGAACUGAGACACGGUCCAGACUCCUACGGAGGGCAGCAGUAGGGAAUCUUCCGCAAUGGGCGAAAGCCUGACGGAGCAACGCCGCGUGAGUGAUGAAGGUCUUCGGAUCGUAAAACUCUGUUAUUAGGGAAGAACAAAUGUGUAAGUAACUGUGCACGUCUUGACGGUACCUAAUCAGAAAGCCACGGCUAACUACGUG